CUGUUACUGCCACAUGUAUUCUCUCGGAGCACGGUAUAUAGCUGCAAAAAGAGGCCAUGUAUUAUUCAUUGUGUGGAGACCCCCUUUCCUCAUCAAUUUCUCUUGUCAGGGACUAUUAUUCUAAAAACAACACAGUUAACAAAAGAGCCAU